AUAUGAUGUGUAUUUACAGUCUUGGGCACAGUUCUGCCAAUCCACUAUCCACUAAUUAGCGAAGAUAAUUUUUGCAUUAGUGGAUUAUCUUUUCAAAUAAUUU